GGGGCUAUAGCUCAGUGGCAAAGCGCUUGCCUAGCAUGUGUGAAGCACUGGAUUUGAUUCUCAGCACCACAUAAAAAUACACAAAUAAAAUAAAAGCAUUCUGUCCAUCUACAACUACAAAUCUUUUUUUUUUUUAAUCCAGCUUAAAAGGUUUUGGGGACAUGGGCUAGGGUUGUGGCUCAGCAGUAGAGCUCUUGCCUAGUAUGUGUUUGGCACUGAGUUCGAUCCUCAGCACCACA
rnacentral:tRNA from 1 species